UACAAGUUAAAAACAUUUCCUUUAAUUAAAAAAUAAACCAUAUGCCAUGAUAACAUUUAUCGGUUUUAUGUAGGUGGAGCCCAUCUCAAAAUCACCAAGUGAAGAUUUAAUAAAACAAAAGCCAAUUCAUGGAGAGGGAUAUUCUUCUUUGUCAACCACUGAAUUUUGUGUUGCUGCUCGAGGUGUUUUUUAAUUGAAUGUGAAUUCCAUAGUCGCUGGCAUGACGCCUAUACUGCACUGGUUAAUGUUUCUCUUCAUUCUCACAUAGCCGGCUUCUCCCCAACCAUCACCCCAGCUACAAGAAAAAAAAUAUACAGUUUUUAAUUGGUGAUGGUAAUGCAAUAAUAUCUCAGUGUAACGUAUGUUCCAACUAUCCUAAUCCUCAUUUCUGAACAGCACCAACCAGAUUUUUAUUCUUUAUAUCUGUAAUACGGUAUUUGCCAACAUUAAUGAAUCUGCAAGUGUUUUAUUUAGUUUUUUUGCAAAAGUGGAGGUAAAUUAUUUUUCUGUCUAAGCUCAAGGGGCAAAUAUAGAAUACUUUCUUAGGAUGCACACACGUUUUUAACGGGAUAUGCAUAAUAUAUUUCUGGACAACAAGCAAAGAUAAGCUUUUAUGUUAGCUAUCCAACUUUUAAUAUAUGAGCAGGUGAAUAUUUAGACAACAGAUUUGGAGUUGGACAAUGUUAAAUAACUGAUUUCCUGAUAAAAAAAAAAUGAAUAUCUCAAAAUACAAGAUAACAGACCGGUGAUACAACAAUGAUACAUAUUGCAGAAUACAUAAACUAUAUGGGCCACGCGAUUCUUUAUUCUGUCAUAAAAUAAUAGUAUCUAAACAUGCAUGACAACCUGUUGACAUUUUGUUUCAGGGGAAAUUAAUAUGUAUUUAAGGAACACUAUAGUCACCUAAAUUACUUUAGCUAAAUAAAGCAAUUUUAGUGUAUAGAUCAUUCCCCUGCAAUUUCACUGCUCAAUUCACUGUCAUUUAGGAGUUAAAUCACUUUGUUUCUGUGUAUGCAGCCCUACUCACACCUCCCUGGCUAUGAUUGACAGAGCCUGCAUGAAAAAAAAAAACUGGUUUCACUUUCAAACAGAUGUAAUUUACCUUAAAUAAUUGUAUCUCAAUCUCUAAAUUGAACUUAAAUCACAUACAGGAGGCUCUUGCAGGGUCUAGCAAGCUAUUAACAUAGCAGGGGAUAAGAAAAUCUUAAUUAAACAGAACUUGCAAUAAAGAAAGCCUAAAUAGGGCUCUCUUUACAGGAAGUGUUUAUGGAAGGCUGUGCAAGUCACAUGCAGGGAGGUGUGACUAGGGUUCAUAAACAAAGAGAUUUAACUCCUAAAUGGCAGAGGGUUGAGCAGUGAGGCCGCAUGGGCAUGUUCUAUACACCAAAACUGCUUUAUUAAGCUAAAGUUGUUCUGGUGACUAUAGUUUCCCUUUAAUUACAAACAACCCUGGGAUUCUGCUACUUCAAGGCAAAAGUGAACUAUGGUGGUGCACUUCUGAGCUAUUGAGCUGAGUUGAGCUAUUUUUUUUAUUUCUCUCAAGAAGCUGACAGUUUUAACAUUGAAUUUUAAGUGCACUCAUCUUCACUUAAGUUUUAAUAACUUAACUCAGCAUCUAUAAUUCAUGUUUUAAAGAUUCUAAUGCAUAUGCGUAAUACUUCACCCAAAGAUCAGCCACUUAUGAGCUUUUGUGAUUCUGUGAUUCUGUAAAAAUGUGAUUUUCAAUCCUUGUCAAUAUGCAAUAUAAGACAUAGAUCAAAAUGAUAAUUAUUCAUUUACCUAUUCCUAACUGUCCAGAAAUUACGACCGUAACCCACAACGACAAUUGCAUGAUUUGGUCCAUCAGCACAGGUUCCAUCAUAUAUUCCUAAAUUAAAUGAAAGAUUAACAUUUUUAAUUUUUUUUUUUUUUCAUAUAUGUACAUUUAUUUUUACAUUUAAGGUUGUCACUUUCCCUUAAAUACAAUAUUGCACCUAGUGUUGAGGAUAAUUUGCUAGUUUGUCCAUCACUUCACUAUUAAUUUAACAUUCACCUGUAUUUUCUCUCCAAUUGUAUAUUGUACUUGCUGCUCUCUUAACAAUAACAAUUGUUUAAAAACAUAUAAUAAAGAUAUGUCAAAAUUAUUUUUAGAGUUUGAGAUGAAAAAGUUUUCCAAUCCAGAGUUUAACGAUCCUUACGUGUUCUAAAUACUAGUUUCGGAAAUGACAUACACUCUGGGCAGCACGUUAAGGAUUGAUUUUUACAAUCCAGAAUCCUAAUAAAUUAUUAUGGUAAAUAGCAAUUAGGAUAAAUUGAUUAUAUUGAUAGAGUUAAAAGAUAAACAAAGUGUGUUUGCAAUUUUCGCUGACACUAUUUCCAUGACAGGUAUUGUUCCCAUAUAGAUUUACUCAGAACUAAUUGUGUUUUUGUUAGAUAGAACUCAUGUACACUUGGACCUGAAGACUCAAUAGCUAAGCCUAUGGGCAAACUCAUGCUGAGCAAAUUGUUUCUGAAUUUCAAUAAAGAACAGAAUCUCAGAGCAACCUUAAUUACUUAUAUGUUUACUGUGGGUGACAUCUCAACUAUUGAUCUAGCUAAACUUUCAAAUUGGUUUGUGUAUGGUUAAAUACAUUUCAUUAGUUGAAUAAUAAUAUUCUAGUUCUUUUAUAUUUCAUUCCAAAUUAUAUCAUCACAAGAGUUACUGGAAUUUCUUUUUUAAAUAAAACAAAAUUUUUAACGUGGUACUCUUUGUAUACAACUUCCAAGAAGUUCUAAGUAAUCUGAAGAACACAUCUCAUAAUGUACUCUGACAUAAAAAAAUAAUAUUGUAUCAUUAACAUGGUUCGUUAAAAAAUUACCUUUUUCAUACAGCAUAAAUUCAUCAUUAACUCCAAUUCCAGCUGUAAGAGGUCCAUUAGUUGCCACUGAUGCUGCCAUAUUUGCCUCUCCAUUCACAUAAUAGAAUCUUUUUGCUUUCAUCUUUAUUGCAUUGUUUGAGUUAAAUAAGCAUUUACCUUGCUACAAAGAAACAAACAGCGAAAUUAACUAAAAGCAGCAAAAUGAAUUUAUAAACUUGUUCUCUCAUAUGAAGGACAGAAACACAUUGUCAUACUAGUUGUUUAGAUCUGUUAACCCCUUGAUGCUUAGACUUCCCAUGGUAUACCUUGUGUAGCUCUUGACUUUAAUCUAACCCUAUGUCUUAUGAGUUAUGAUGGAAAAACAAACUGUGUUAAUGUCUAUAAGACCCUUAUUUUGGGUGGUGAAGAAGUGGCAUUAUAAACAUGGGCUUUUAAUUACCUUUGCCCUUUUCAGCUGUCACAUUUAAAUGAUGGUAGGAAUUAUCAUGGUUGAGAACAGGACUCCUGGUCCAUAUACAUACCCUCUUUAAUAUAAAUAUUGUGUAGCAGAGAUCCUCCAAUCCUCUAAACACAAUUACUUUGUGCUCUAAACUAAUUCCAAAUUAUAUGGUUCUAGCAGCUAAUCCUUGUAUUCAGUGUCUGGUCCAAAUCCUGUGUCCACACACAAUAUAUAUAACCAUGCACCCCUAGCUCAGUCAUACAAAUCUAUAUAUCAAUGGCUGAUUUUGUGUGGUCAGGUUUUGUGGCAUUCAGUCACAGAAUUAUCUUCAAUGUAUAGUACAAUACAAGAGAAAAUCUAAAUGUAAAGGACUGUACAUGAUCGUCUCAAGGGAUGAAAUCUCCUACCUUUUCUUUAUACUUGUAGUCGUCACUCUUCAUAAUACCAUUUUUGGAAACAUAUUCCAGAGCCUUAACUGGGAGUCCACCAUCGCAACCAUCAUUUGCUUUAUCGCAAUCCACAAGCUGCUGCUCACUGAAUAUGAGUUGCUUACCCUUAUCAAGGCAGUAACGGGUUUCAAUAAGGCUCACCUUAAAACACAAUUUACAUACCAUCCUUUUAAUUUACCAAGAAAUACCAAAACACAAUAACAAACCAAAUGCACUAACAGAAAUUGGUAGGUACAGGAAUCAGGUAGGUUUGUCUCCCAAAAUACCACCAAAGAAAAACUCACCCCAAAAAAAAAAAAUACAAAGACCAUCCUUGUACAAAAAGUAAAGUAUAUUACAACUUGUAAUUUGCAUUAGUAUUUUAUAUAUGCCAUUAUUGUUGCUGUUGGUCUGUUAUAUAAAAAUACUAAUAAAAUAGCAAAUUGUUAUAUAUUUUAGUUUUUUGGGGGGUGGAUUCUCUCUCUCUUUAUAUAUAUAUAUAUAUAUAUAUAUGUAAAAAACAAGAUAACAUUCCUAUCAUGUAAUACCUUUUUUAUUGGACUAACAGAUUUUUUUAAUGACAAGCUUUCAGGAGAACCUCCCUUUCUCAAGUCUAAAGCAUUUCUGAGCAAGACGACAUAUAGAAUUAAAAGUUGAGUUGUGAUACAGGGGUCAUAGCGACAUGAGUGCAGAAAAGAUACAGGUUUGAUAGAAAAUAGACACUAUUCUCGCAGAGAGUCGUAAAUAUCUUGUGUGAAAAUCACAGAGUGAGGCUCACACUCUGUCGAUGACAUCUCAUUGAGAAUGCCCAAGGUCAUCUUUAAAAAUACUGUGAUCUCUCCACAGGCCACCAUUUUGUACUCUAUUUGUGUUCAAGUACAAUAGGGAUGUAAGUCCUUGCAGAAGAAGAUCUAAAUUAAGAACAAGAUGGCAGCUCAAAGGAGUAAGUUCAGGAACAUUUACCUACAGGAACAUUUAAUUUUUUUUGCCCCAGGCACUACAUUGUAAAAGGACAUUUCUUAGCUAAAGAUAUAAAGACUCUAAUAGUGUCAGGUUGCCAGAAAUUAAGAUAUUAGUAGUAUUCUUAUUAGCUAAUAAAGAGUUCUUACUGUUGCAAAUGCCCAGCAUGAGCCACAUUCUCCUUGACUUUUAACAGGAGUCACACAUUUUGAAUUUCUCCAGUCAUAUUCAUCAGGAAUAACAGGCAGAUUUCCAUGGCGAAUAUGGGCAUGGUGUGAAAUUGUCAAAUGUCUUUUCAAGCCAAGGCUGAUGUGGGAAGCCCGUUCUUCUGGGGUCUGAAACAUGAUAACCAUAAUUAUUAAAAAAUAAAUUUUAAUCACUUAAUUCCAUUCACUAAAUGCAAUAUUAUGGAAGUCAACAAAUUAUUUUCAUUUAAUUUAGUUAUUGUAUAAUAUUCCAAAUAUAUAAAAAAAAAAUUGUAUGCAGUAUAAAAAAAAUCUGAUAAAAACUAUGUGAUUAAAUAUAUACUAGCCCUCCUGCAUUUCCAGUGGUCUAUCUUUUAUAAUUCAUUAAUUGCUCUUGAUGUAUGUGAUUUUUUUUCUAUAGUUAACAUUAGUACUACUAUUACUUGUGUGUAUUAUCAUAACUUUGCAAGUGCAGCCUUGUCUACAUAUAAGAAACACAUUACUAACAUAGUAGACAAAUUGAUUCUGUUGUUAAUUUCUUAACCUUUUUGACAUGUAUUUCAAACAAAUAAAAUAUUUUCCUGAAAUUAUAUAUCUUAAAGUGAUAAGGCCAUCUUGGUUGAUUAAGCAAAUUAAUGCAUGAUUGAAAGAUGCAAAAAAAAUAACAGAGAAAAUGUUUCUCGUGCACAGAUUUUCCUUAUUACAAAGUAGCUACAUUCAUGUUUUCAUGGAUGAUAAUUACUGCAACUAUAAUAAAAAAAAUGCACAGCAAUGGAAAGGGAGGACCUCAUUACACCAUGUUAUCAGGGUACAGAUAUGAGGUUAGAUUUUUAUAUAAUAUGGUAUAAAACAGAAAACAAUCUAAUUUUAAUUAAAUAGAAAAUAUACCUCUAGAAUGAUUUCAUAAAACUUACCAGGUCUGCAAACUGAUUCAUUGCCAAAGUGUAGUUUUUAAGACCUAGUUCUGCCAGCUGGUUGUGUUGGUGCACCAGAUCCCUCGUGGCUAACCAUGCUCCUUGGCGAUUCAACUCAAUUUCUUCUGUGUCAUAUUGUUUUCCUGCCAUGGAAUUUAACCAUUGAAACAAUUUAAUUUACAACAUUUGGACAAAAACUGCACAUUAUAUUAUGUUGUGUUGCUUGCAUUGAUGGAUAUUUGCUCAACUCUUUUAGACUAAUAUUACUAAUAUUUUAUUCUACUCAAAGCCCUAAUUAAAAAUCUCUAUGAAUUAAUUAAUAGCUGUUUGCAAUAAGAUGGUUUAAUUGAAUGAACUGAAUACAAAAAUAAAUUCACAUUACAGAUUUUUAAUUUUCUUUGUGCUAAAAGAAGUUGUUUGUUUAUCAACAAAUUCUUGCUCAUUUAGCAUUUUGUUCUAGGGUAUGCAAUUCCUAUAUUCCUUUAUCAGGAUAAUUACUGAUGGAAAAAUAAAUCCCCAGUAAAAUUAAAUAUAUUAAAAAAGGAAAGGCAAUUAAAAACAAUUUAAAACAGUAACUCUUUUCAUUUAAUGUAUUUUGUCCUUUAAAUUCAGCAAAUUACUACAAGCCAUAGUUAUGGGAUAAAAAAAUUCGGACUUCAGGUUUUAUUGGUGAGCAUUCUCACAUUUUAAUGGACGUUACACAUCAAUCAAACCACUGUUAAUUUAUUAGUCUGGUUUUUUUUGUGUGUUUUUUUUGUCAAGUAACACAGUUUUUGGCAAUCUUUAGGGCUAUUAUAUUUUAAAAAUUUAAUUCAUGUAUUUAAUGAAUAAAUAAAGUAAAGUAUAUAUUAAGGCAAAAACUGUUUUUUCAAUUCUGGGGUAAUCCACUUAUUUGACGCACAUUAUGGAAACCAACACAGAAUUAAUAAACAUAUCACUAACAAAUCAUACUUAUGCAAAUAAGUACAUGUAACUAAUUAGCAUAAAUCAUACAUGUGUGUAUCUGUAUAAUUACAUACCAUACUUAGAUUUCCACAGGUUCCAUUCUUGUUCAAGGAAAUGUGCAGCCGAAGCGCAGACAACAAUUGUUGAGAAGAGGAACAGAUGUUUAUUGAACUUCAUCCUAAAGUAAACCAAUAGUACGUCUUUAGUUUAAAUACUCCAGUUAUAUCAAAUAUUUAUUUUGAAAUAUGAAAACUAAAAGUGUAAUCAGUUUCUUAUCAUAAAGGAGGCAAGAUAUAGGUUUAUAAACUGUUUAACCACACACAAUAGUUUUUUCCUAAGUUAAUAUGCUGUAUGUACAUUCUAUGUUUGAAAUAGCAUGUACACUGUAAUAAAGCUGGUAACGUACCUGCCUGAUGUGAUCCCAAGACCAGGAGCUCCUUCAGGUCUUGGUGAAUGAAGAGCUUUCAAAAUAUUGGUCUUUAUAUAUAAUUCUCCCCACCAAUAGAAUUCUUACUUGCGGCAAGUCAUGCUAAGAAUAAGAUAUGUGAAAACAGUUUGACCUAUCACAGAACUGAUAAGAUUUAAGAUUGAUUUGAUAUAACAUUUGAGAAAGAAAAUCACAACAAAAGAGGAAAUAUGUGGUAUCUUUUUGUGGUAUUUUAUUAUGUUGACAUCAUAACUUAAUAAUAAGAAAGGAGAGAGGGUAAAACAUAAAUCUGAAGUUCCACAUGCAAACAAUGAUAUGUUUAAAAUAUAUUGACAUAUGGCAAUAGGAUAAACUAACACUACUAAUGUCCCUUAAGCAUUUUACACAUGCAAGAGACAGAGAAAAAAAUGGAAAAUGCUGCUUGAGAAAUUACAAAAUGUUGAAUAUCUAGAUGGAACUGUGUGCAAAACAUUUUAGGUAUAUUUUUUUAUUUUUUUUUACAUUAUUUACUUUUGCAGUGCUUAGCGUAUCAGUCAGGAUAGCAUUUACAUUUUCAUAAUAUAUAUAUAAUAACGAAGAGUAGUAGAUGUAACAUGAAAUGUUAGGAACACUGCACUUUUAGUGGGAAAUGAGGGAAAACAGCAAAAACACAAUUCUUUCAUAGGGAGCAAUAUCAAAGGCCAAAUGAUGUAAAAUAGAAUUGUGACUGUCUACAAGAGUUAGAUACCACUGGGUGGAUAAGGUUAACUAUUACAGGGGCCCAAUUAAAGCAUUUUAACUAAAUUAGUGAAAAUAGGUCAUGGCAUAAUGGAUAGCAAGCUAACAAUAAAGAGGUGAAAUAGUUGCAAUGGUUAUUGAAAGAGCUUCAAAUAUUAGCCAAUAUUAGUCAUCUGCCACUGCAAGCAGGCCACAGCGGUAAGGCAGCUUCUUUGCCAGAUAUACUUCCUCCUCAUUCUCUCUUUGCCAGCAGGAAGGGCGUCUGAGUGGUGAGUUGGUAGGCAGGACACAGUCCAUAGUUCUGCGGCCCCAUAUCUCACAAGUCCAGGCUUUAGCAAGGGCCGGUUCCUUUUGUCUAUUAGUGCCUCACGGGAGGGUCAUAGGCUUACUUAUUUUAUUUUUUACAUGAAUUUAAAUUUAUGGUCUCCCCCUUCACUAUUUUAGGAUGAGGGGGGUAGGUAGUACUUUAAUUUUUUUUGGGGUGGGGGGUGACUACAUUUAGCCUCCACCUGUCUCACAUGAGUGGGGGCCAGUUGGGGAAAGGACAAUAGCUCCUCCCCAUUUUCAUUUAGGGUCCCAACCCGAUGCUCAUUGGUGGGGGCUGGGUGGAGGAUAAUAGGUCCCCCCCUUUUCAUUUAGGGCCCCUACCCACAGCUCAGGGGUGGGGGCAGGACAUUAUUGUUUUUUUAUAGGGCCAUCAUUUAGAAAGGGGGGUUUACAACAGUGAGCAGCCACUAUCUGCUCACUGUUCAGUAGACAUGCCCCUACUCGCGGCAUAGUGAGUAUGGGCAUUCUGGAGAUUUUAAUCUCCCUUAUGCUAAUAUAGGGGUCAUAUUGACCCCAAUAGAGUAAGGGGGGGCAUGGGGGCUUACAAGGAUGGAGCUGCGUGCCGGUAGGUCCCUCCUUGUAAUAAACCAAAUGAACAAAUAAAGAGAUCUUCAUUAAUUCAUUUGAAAUUUCUAUUUAUUUUUUCAUCUUUCUGACGAAUGAGUGAAUAGAUGAAAUUCCUGUUCGAAUGCCCAAGUGUUUAACUGGGCAUGCACAAGAAUUUCACAGCGCUAUCUACUGUGGGCAGAUGAUGUGUCCCACAAGGACUUCAUCUAACCACAGAAAGAUGGCGGUGCCCAAGACCUAGGUCUGGGCAUAAAAUAAAUAUUAACCCCUUAAGGACACAAGACAUGUGUGACAUUGAUUCCCUUUUAUUCCAGAAGUUUGGUCCUUAAGGGGUUAAAGAAUAGGUAAUAUGGGGGGCUUAGGGGUAUUUGUGGGUGAUAGGGGGACAAUUAGAUGUAGUGGAGUCAGGAAGGGGGGUUAAAAAAACAACUGGAUUCGGCCAUGACAUUGCCGCUUUAAAACUAAUGGCCUGAGUAACCUUUAUCUCACAUAUCUGCCACUUGCUCUCUCCUAAAGGGCUGCACUCCACUCUGUCCUUCAGUUCUGCUUCACUCCCAUCUUGUUUGUUUGCUUUCCCCCUCAAUGCCUUUCCUAAUGAGUUUUAUACCCUACUUCUUGAGUGGGAUAGGCAUGAGGCUAUCCUAGAUUUAAGAUAAGGCCAGGGACUAAGGAAAUAUUUUGAAACUUGGGCAGACUAGAUGGGCCGAAUGGUUCUUAUCUGCCGUCACAUUCUAUGUUUCUCUUUUACACUAUAAGCUUGUUUGAUCUGUAUCCUCAUCAACCUAUUGUUCCUGUAACACUUUGUAUUUGUCUUGUUUAUUGUUAAAUGUUCAUUUUUAUAAUAUUGUAAAGAGCUGUGGAAUAUGUUGGCGCUAUAUAAUUGCCAGAAAUUAUAAUAAAAUAUCUUAAACAUCAUAUCCCACAUAAAGAAACGUGUAAAAACACAUACACACAUUUGUAAUCCAUUGCACAGAAAAAAUAUAUCCAGAGUAUGAGUUUGUUUAUGGGAUAGUAGAGUAGUAUAUUCAAAUGGCAUACGUUUAAUGUAAAAAUAAAAGAAUGAAAUAUGGCCUAUAUUACAAAACUUCAAUGUAUAAAUAAAUGAACAAUGUGUACAAGAAUAUGAUUAGGAGUUAAUAAAAAGAGCCCAACCCUAGUACAUAUGCAAAUAGAUAGGAUAAAGAGAAUAAUUCAUUCUGAAUGAUAUUUCAAUAUUUUAAAACAAAUAAAUAUAUAUUACAGUUCUAUUUGUCACAUAAUACAACAUUAUUAGAAUAUGCAUACAGUAUUAAAAGUCUAGGCCUCCAUCCCUCAAGAUUCAGUAAACAGCUCUUGCAUAUGAUUAAUUCAUGGGUAUGCCCCUUUUACGUAUGUGAUGACCAAUGGCAUAUGGGGUGCAGAUGGAAGCCUACAGUUUAAACAGUUUAGGCUGUCAGUUGUUCAAAUCCCCAUGUGCUGCUUAAAUACAAGCCUGCAGCUGUUUAUCUGUCUCUAUGGCUAUUCAGCGCUGUAUUUAGCGCAAGGCUCACAAGGCAUUUGCCUUGGUCGGCACUUUAAGGGGGGCUGCCCCCAAGUUCCCUGGCAGAAGUCUUGUCAGCCUCUUGUCCAUCUGUUCACAUUGAGGGCGAGGGAGUGCUGUGCCCUGAGCACUUCCUGCUCAGCUCCGUAGCACGCGCCGCAGUGAUGCCGAAGUCAGGAUAUGACAUCACUCGAGCCCUGGCUUCACUAAGAGGUGCGCGAGGGAGCUGAGCAGGAAGAUCUGAGCUACCUUGCCACCUGCAUUAACUACCUACCCAGCAGUGAAAGAAUCCCCACUGGACCCCUGGGAAAUAGAGAUUCCACUCCAGUACUCCCAAAGGUAGGAAGGAUGAGUGGAUUGAAAUAAAAAAUGCUUUUUUUAAAUUGUGAGUGUAUCAGAGUGCGUGUGUCUGUUAGUGAGUUUGUAUGUGUGUCUGUCAAAGAGUUUGUGUGUUUGUCAAUGAGAGUGUAUAUGUGUUUGUCAGUGAGAGUGUAUGUGUGUUUGUCAGGGAGACUGUAUAUGUGUUUUUCAGUGAGUGUGUAUGUGUGUUUGUGAGUGAUUGUGUAUGCGUGUCUGUCAGUGUCUGUGUCUGUAACCGAAAGUGUGCCUGCCAGUGAGUCUGUAUUUGUGUCUGUCAGUAAAUGUGCAUGUCUGUUAGUGAAUGUGUAUGUCUGUCAUGUUGGUGUGUUUCUGUGAAAGUGUGUGUUGGUUAAACAGUGCGUGUGCCAAUGACUGUGCAUCUGUCAGUGAGUGUAUGUCAGUGUAUGCAUCUGUGAAGGCAUGUGACCGGCAGGCAAAGAGUGUGUUGUUUUUUAAAAGGAACAGAAAUUUAGAUGGGGGUGCCUGAGAUUUGUCAAGCCUAAGGCAGUACAAAACCAAACUACACCACUGUGGCUGUUUAGUAUAUUUUCCCACCUCAGGUAAGUACAUUGGUAUUUAAAUUAUAAACUAGUAUAAGUACCUAAAUUUAUGUUCUUUCAGUUCCUCCCAGUUGCUUAUUUUUGGGUUUCCUACUAACAAAUAUUAACAAAUACAUUAAGGAGGUCUGUGAGGUAAGCAUUUAGGUAAGUUUAUACAUGCAAUGAUGCAUUUAAAAAAAAGAGUGCUACUAAUGGAUAUCCUGGCUGUAUAAAGUCUACCUGAAUACCAAAGUGUGAAGAAAGGCAAAUAUCCAUGUUAAGAAAAAGUAUCCCUGGGUAAAUAACUGAUCUACAGACUUGUACAUGACAUGAGGUAUAAAGUCUGAUGCUAAGUCCACUCAGACACUUGUUCCUAUUACGGCAUGUGGCAAUGAUUGUUGUUGUCUGUGCAUUGUGGCACAUAAGCAGGCUUUUUCAGAUUGUGGAAGGUAAAAUAUUUUUGGGAUAUUUCUGAUUAUCUAAAUCAGCAUAUGAGACCAAGAUAUCCUCUCAGUAUGAACUGUUGAAGAUCUUCUAUAGAUUUGGAUAUCACAUAGCCUCAGUAUAUUUGACUGAUAUUAUCUCGGUACAUGAGCUGAUCUUAAGCACAGCAUCAGUAUGCGUCCAGUAUAUGUUCUAUGUAUGAAUUACUCUGCGGACAUAACCUCAAUAUAUGUAUCCACUAUAUGCUUUAUGUAUGAAUUGGUCUGAAGACUCAGUUUCAGUAUAUGUAUCCAGUAUAUGCUCUAUAUAUUAGUUGGUCUGAAAACAUAGCCUCAUUAUGUAUGUCCACGAUAUACUCUAUGUAUGAGUUGGAGUGUGUUCACAAUAUGCACUAUGUAUGAGUUGAUGUGAGGACACAGCAUCAAUAUAUGUAUCCAUUAUGUACUCUUUGUAUGAGUUGGUCUGUAGACACAGCUUCAGUAUAUGUAUCCAUCAUAUGCUCUAUGUAUGAGCUAGUGUGAAGACACAGCCUCAGUAUGUGUCUUCUAUACGCGCUAUAUAUAAGAUGAUGUGAAGACACCGCUUCAGCAUAUUAUUAUUAUUAUUUUAUUAUGUAUAUAGCACCAGCAAAUUCCAUAGCGCUGUACAAUGGGUGGACUAACUGACACGUAAUUGUAACGAGAAAAAUGAACGCCCAGGAACAGAAAGGUUGAGAGCCCUGCUCAAUGAGCUUACAUUCUAGAGGGAAUGGGGUAUAAUGACACAAAAGGUAUAAGUAGGGGUAAUGAAAUAGGUUGCAAAAAAGUAUUCACUGAGAACUUAUAAUAUUUUUGACAGUUGCAGGAGAAGAGUCAUGGGGGGAUGAAAACCUGCUAACAGUUUAAAUGAUAUGCUUUCCUGAAGAAGUGUGUUUUCAAAGAUUUUUUUGAAGGAGUGGAGACUGGGUGAAAGUCUAUCAGAGAAGGGAAGGGAGUUCCACAGAAAAGGUGCAGCCCUGGAUAAGUCUUAGAGGCGAGCAUCAGAUGUGGGAGUACAGACAGAGGAUAGACGUAGGUCUCCAGCAGAGCACAGGGGCCUCAAUGAGACAUACUUGUGUAUUAGGGAGGAUAAGUAGGUCGGAGCAGCAUUAUGUAGGGACUUGUAAGUAAGCACCAGAAUGUUAAAUUGAGCCCUAUAUCUAACUGGAAUCCAAUGUAGGGAAUGACAAAGGAGUGGGAGGUGCAGGCAGACAGGAAAAUGAGCCUCGCUGUCGCAUUCAUUAUAGAUUGCAGUGGUGCAAUCUAUAAACAUGUAAGUUUACUGAGAAGGGGAUUGCAGUAGUCAAGGAGAGAAAGGAGAGAAAGGAGAGAAAGAACAACAGCAUGGACCAGCACCUUAGUCGUAUCAGUUGUUAAAUAGGGGAAGAUGCAAUGUUUUUGAGAUGGAAGCGGCAGGAUUUGGUGAUCAACUAGACAUGAGGGGUGAAGGAGAGGUCAGAGUCAAAGAGAACACCUAGGCAGCGAGUCUGCGAGGGGGGGUGUGAUGGUGGCGCCGUUGACUUUGAGUGAGACAUACACAGGAGUAGCAACACUUGAGGGAGGAAAGACCAGAGGUUCUGUUUUGGACAGGUUGAGUUUAAGGAAGUGAGCAGCCAUCCAGUUAGAAAUCACAGAGAGGCAGUCAGAGACAUGAGUCAAGAUGGGCGGAGAAAUAAGAGAUGAGGAGAGGACAGGUACAUUUGCAUGUCAUCUGCAUAUAAAUGAUAAUGAAAGCCAAAGGAGCUGAUGAGUUUUUCAAGGGAGGCAGUAUAGAUGGAGAACAGUAGGGGAUCAAGGACAGAACCUUAGGAAUGCCAACAGAGAGGGGUUGGGGAGAAGAGGCAGAGCCAGAGAAAGAAAUACUGAAAAAGCGCCACGAAAAGUAGGAGGAGCACCAGGAGAGAGCAGUAUCUUGUAGACUGAGAUUACAGAGAAUGAGAAGUAGCUGUUGAUGAUCAACAGUGUCAAAGGCAGCAGAAAGAUAAAGGAGAAAUAGGGUAGCGUAAUUGCCUCAAGAUUUAGCUAGUUAUAGCAGGGUUUCUUCUCUGCUGGUUACUUCAACAGCUACUCAGGAACAAACAGGAUACUUCAAGAAAGCAGACAUAAGCAUAAAAUCAUCCACAAAUAUCCCUUCACCCUUUCCAAUAACUGGAUGACACUCAUUAUUAGGAGCAGAACUGAUCCUUUAAUGGCCAUGCUGGCCUUUUAUGCUUGUUUUUCCCACAAGGUUACCACCCAGGUGGACCUUGUUGGACACAGGUCCAGUACAAAACCAAUAAACACAGAGUCAGGUAAUGAGUUACUCCCAUACAUUCCACACAAUCCCUCCCCUCUGCUUAGGCGAUAAUUGAGUUAAUUACUAUAUCAACUCAAUUAUCAUCCACACAAAUUUUUUUUUUUUUUAUACAUUUCCAGAAGUACCCCAAAAACCUAUCCUACUCCCACAAUUCAGACCCUGAUAGCCCCAAUCUGGAGAGCUACAUACUGAAAAAUUACCCAGAUUGGUUCAGGGGUUCGACAAUUCUAUGUAGGUCUUUACCGACCGCACACAAGGUGUAAGCCGAAAAUAGUUCCAUGUGUUUGGGCUGUGCGGUCGGUCUACGUUCGAGAGUCUGAAAUACAUGAAAUUGUAUAUGAACAUGGUUCGUGCCUUGGUUAGUUGAAAUAAUCUCAUUCGUGUGAUUCCUUUCACCGAAUGCCACUCUGUUUUCCUGAGUUUACACAAACUUACACGAAGCUGGAAGUCUCUGAAGUGUUUGUGCCAUUAAGUGUCCGUUGAUUUGGGUUCCAGACACUCGACAACCAAACCCCGCUGGUACAGUUCGUAUUCAAAGAUGGCCGCCCAGGGGAUCACCCAGUUGGUUUGUGUGUUUGUGGUUAAGCAAGUGUGAACAAGGUUAGGAAGGUCAAUUGGCGCCACGCUCCUCUCAUGGGUGGCCUAGUUGUUCGGUACUUAGUUCGUUUGUCGAGCUAUAUAUGGAAAGUCAGCUGAAAGAGGGCUGUUACUGAACAACCAGACGAAAAAAUUAAAUGUAAUAGUUUCUUACUUGUUUCCCCAAGUAACGAAAAGUAGAAAUCACAGAAAAGAGGGUAUGGACAGCCCCUAGUACAAAGAGAGGUUCUGUUGCAAAGCCCAUUCUGCUACACACAGCUGUUUCAACAGAGUGAAGAGCACAGAAUCCAUUCUGAAGUUGGUCAAGCAGAGAGAUGAAUUUGAGAUAGUCUGUCAAUCUUACACAACUCUCUCAAGGAUCUUGGAAGCAAACGGCAGUAGUGAUAUAGGGCGGUAGUUGGAUGGGGAAUUGGGGAUCAAUGUUGGGCUUUUUCAGAAUUGACAUUAUGGUUGCAUGCUUGAAGGGUGAAGGAAAUGUGCCAGAGGAAAGGGAGAGAUUGGAAAUUUUAGUGAGAAGAAGAGCAAGAGAGGGAGAUAGGGUGCGGAUGAAAUACGAGGGAAAAGGAUCAAGGGAAUAGGUGGCAGGGAGGGAGGACCGGAGCAGAGCAGAAACCUCUUCCAUUGUAGUAGGUGCGAAAGAGCAUAGAACAGUGGAGUGAGUGGGGUUGGGUGAUGUAUUGGAAGGGUGAUAUGGGAAAAUGCAAAUAUUGUAUUUCUCAAACUGUGUACUUUGUCUUUAAGAGAUAUUGAAAACUGACAAAGUGUUGGAAAUGAAACAUAUUGUUUUUCAUACAUGUUUCUCUAAGCAAUAACCAUUUACCUACUUUCAGUGCAUGAUAUGUUUACGCCAUUUUGUCCCAGACGAAAUACAAUAACAAUAAUGCAUAAACAAGCUUCAAGGCAACGCUACGACUCUUUCAGUACAUAAUAUACUGAGGUAACCCUAAAUACAUAAAGCUGUUCAGAUGCCACCUUGAUCUAAGUAAGGGAAUUUUCCAUGAUGUAUGCACCCCCUUACGUUUUAGUUAUGACCUUGUAUUUUUGCCAAGUUAAGGGAGGUCCUAAAAUGAAUAAAGUGAAAGAAGGGUUAUUUUUUCAUGUAUGAGGAGCAAAAAAACAGGGCGCAAGAGUAUUCUGAGAACGAGCAACAGCUUAAAUAGUCUGCCCUUCGGUGGGUCCCCGCUCAGAUCUCAAGCUAGUUUUAACUCAUCUUGUGCCAUUACAGAGAGAACAUCUCUGAAACAUAUCAGACUGGUCCCACCCAUACGGGCAGUCCAAAUUUGAAAUGCCAGCAAGUUCCCUCUGCACGAGAGGCAGAGCAACCCCAGACGAUUGUUUCAGCCUUGUUAGGCAUCAUCAGUGAGGCAUAGCUGAUAUCUCUCUAGGCACCCAGAGCAAGGGGUCCAAGUCUGGAUUACCCUUUAAACUUAUGGAGAGCAAAAAAACAGGGUGCAAGAGUAUUCUGAGAACGAGCAGCAGCAGAACUAGCCUGCCCUUCUGUGGGUCCCCACUCAAAUCUCCCCUGCUCGUUCUCAGAAUACUCUUGCACCCUGUUUUUUCGCUCUCCAUAAGUUUAAAGGGAGAGUGGUUAGAGAUCUCUUCCAUGAUUGUAGAAAUCUUCUCAGUGAAGUGAGUUGCAAAGUUUGAGGCAGACAGGGUGGUAGCAGGAGGGGGAGCAACAGGGCAAAUUAGAGCAUUAAAAGUGUGAGAUAGGCAUUUGAGUUGGCGGGACAGUGUGCUUAUGAGGGUGUUGAAGCAUGUGUCCACUAGAGCAGCAGGAAAUGCUAGCAGAAUGCUUGGUUGUAUAGGGAGAGGUAUUAGCAGUAGAAAGAGGGAAGUGCUCAUGCCAUUGUACAGAACACUGGUGAGACCUCACUUGGAGUAUUGUACACAGUACUGGAGACCGUAUCUUCAGAAGGAUAUUGAUACCUUAGAGAGGGUUCAGAGAAGGGCUACUAAACUGGUUCAUGGAUUGCGGGAUAAAACUUACCAGGAAAGGUUAAAGGAUCUUAACAUGUAUAGCUUGGAGGAAAGACGAGACAGGGGGGAUAUGAUAGAAACAUUUAAAUAUAUAAAGGGAAUCAACACAGUAAAGGAGGAGACUAUAUUUAAAAGAAGAAAAACUACCACAACAAGAGGACAUAGUCUUAAAUUAGAGGGACAAAGGUUUAAAAAUAAUAUCAGGAAGUAUUACUUUACUGAGAGGGUAGUGGAUGCAUGGAAUAGCCUUCCAGCUGAAGUGGUAGAGGUUAACACAGUAAAGGAGUUUAAGCAUGCGUGGGAUAGGCAUAAGGCUAUCCUAACUAUAAGAUAAGGCUAGAGACUAAUGAAAGUAAAAUUGGGCAGACUAGAUGGGCCGAAUGGUUCUUAUCUGCCGUCACAUUCUAUGUUUCUAUGUUUCUAUGUUUCUACGUGCUCUAUGUUUUAGUUAAAAUGCAAGAUGGACCACCAGGAUAGCACCGCAAAGGAUUUCCUUUCAUUAAUGUUUAUGGCUAUCAGAAUAUCUUCAGCGAUUAUAGCUCUACAGCAGAUCCACCGCAAGCACUAGCUAACCUAGUGUAGGGUGAAAUAGAACUAGUUUAUUGUCACAUUUUUUUACCUUGGGUCUCAACAGGAACUCCCCUGAGAGAAUAAAAGAAUUACAACAUUCCCAGAGCCUUGGUGUCUGUGCCUGAGUAGAUAAUUUAAUGAUCAGCCAGACACCUUUGCACUGGGAUAAUAAAAAAUACAAUAAUUAUGGUUUUCGUCCCCACAUCUCCACACAACUGCUGUCCCCAGGAAGCUUGUUUCAGAGCACCUACUUUGUCCAAAAGGUGCUCAGAUCGGAGGUUGCUAGCCAGAUUUAGGUGGAAGUGAACAUUUCAGCAGGUUUCAUCUAGCCUCCAAUCUUUUCGCAGAGUUCCAUGGUGCUGGGUAGAAAAUCCCAGUCACCCAAAACCACAGCGCUUUCCAUGAAUCUUUGUAGCUCCUCAAAGUCCAAAGUCACCCUAUCCCCUAUUACCCCAAGAGCACUCUGGGUAAAGUUUUGGUGGGCAGUUGCUGCGAGACAGUAUAUGUGAAUGAAAUAAAAGACACAAUCUCUAUGUAUGAGUCCAAUAUAAUCUUUGUGUUUGACGAUGAAGAGGAUAAGAGAAUGAAGAGGAUAAGAGAAACACACUGCAUUUUACAUUUGCAUUAGAGUUCUCCCACACAGGUGUUUAAGUAUUAGCAAUUAAACACUUUAGAUGGACUGCAUGUGUUACUGAUCCUGUCUGUGCACCCCUCCAUCUGGAGAGAAGGGGACCUGAUUUCCAAAAUUGAGGCUGGUGAUGUUCAAUAUCAAUUAAUGGCCCUUUAUGUGUGCACACCUAUGCAUAUACGUGAGAGAAGUUGCUACAAAAGUAUUUUUUAUUGCCAGGUACCAUCUCCUCAUCAAUCAAGGUAAAGAAUGUUUUUACGUUUAGAGGUAGUGUUUAACCUUAGUAGAUACUGCUGAUUGCAGGUGCACAGCUUAGUAGGUAUUGCUGAUUGCAGGUGCACAGCUUAAUAGAUCUUGCUAAUUGCAGGUGCACAAUUUAGUAGAUCUUGCUGAUUGCAGGUGCUAAGCUGUGGCUAUCUAUUGCUCCCAUGAGCAGGUAGCUCUCUGAAGCAAUCAACUGACCCGUUUCAUUGCUUUACUUUCUCAAAUAUAAUUUGACUUUGAUUUAAAAGCUAUGAAUAUUAUUCUGUAUUACCAAGUCACAACUUAAGUAAUCAUUUUUAAUUUCUGUAGGAUUCUACUCUCAAACGCAAUACUACUAGUCUGGCUUAUAAUUUUUAUUCAGAUUUUAGCUCAAUGCCCUGCAGUUGGUUUAGAAUGGAGUGAAUUUCCUUAAUGCAUAAUAUGUAUAAUUCAGAGAAUGUGCUAUUUGUUAUGUUCAGUAUUCUGCUAUUUGAUAUCUUGGUGGCCUUGAGUUAGACAAUUUUUUUAAUGCAUGUCAGGGGUGGCAUGCUUUUGAUUCUUAAGAGUAGCCUGUUGUGAAGUUCUCAGGGGGAACAUUAUAAUUUAUUUUCUGCAAUAACAUCUAUUUUCUUAGUCUCAUAUUCUCCAUGUAUUAUGGAUACUGGGUAUCGCAAGUGUUUUAAUUGCCACUUUUCACUCCUCAGACUAUUGUAACAGUUUUAAUAUUUCAGGUGAAUUAUUCUUGCUACCAAAACAAUAAGGGAAAUACCUGAACAUUACGUCCCAUUACUGAUCUCUGUUCUGAUGUUCAAGGGGAUUCUUCUGGGUGUCUCACUAUCUGAGCUUUACAGCCAAUGUGUGGUUUUAAGAUGUAGAGUCAUCAAUUAAAAGUAAUAUUGUAGCAUGUUUAUGACAAACAAUUGGCUGAUAUGUUUUUAAUGGUCUCUGUACCUAGAUCCGUAUUAGUGAUAAUCAUUCCUGACAUUGCAUUGAUGUAAAUAUUUGUGAAUUAUAUGCUUCGACUGGGGUUGAUAGCUUUGCAGAUUAAACAAGCUGCACAUGGAUCUUAUCAUCACCAUAUGCUCUGCUGUAAGUCCUUCAACACUAUCUGAAGAUAAGGUCAGCAUACGCAUGUGGUUGUUUGUUCUUAUAAGGACAACUGAAUAUCUUCGACUAUUCUGCUUCUAAUCAUUUUGAUUCUACAGUAUUUUAAUCUUUGAAUGUAUGUCCUGACGUUGUUAGCCUAACUUUGCUACCUAUAAUUUAGUAGUUGCCAUAAUUUCUUUGAUUUAUCCUGAUAUUCUGUCACUACUAUCUGAAUGAUGUGCUCUUUUUUUGCCUUUGCCUAGUAAUAUCUACUGUGACAGAAGAUCCCAUGCAAUGGCCUUUUGUAAAAGCUUGAAGGACAGCCUCUUUCCCACAGACUAUGGACCUGGUCCCAAAAGCGCCUGAAAGGGGCUUGUGAUGGUAGCAAUUGAAAAACAAACUAUUUAUUGUUACUUCUACAAUGCCCUUUGCUGACUGAAUGGAAGUGUCUGUCACGACUGUUAGUGUGGUCCAACACACAGAAACUAUGUAAACAUAUAGAUAGAAAAUGAAAAGGAAAUAAAAGGACAGAAUGUAAACCGGUCCUUAGAAUGGCCGGACUAAUACGUUAGCGACAGAGAAUGGUCAAAGGGAAAGCCGAGGUCAAGGAAGCCAGAAAUACACAAAUAAAGUUUAAACAAAAAUAAAAUUGUCCGCCGAUCGCAUGACUGAAACUUCGGUCUAAUCUUACUUCCUUUGUCACCCUCAUUUUUCACUACCACAUAUUUAUAUGUUCUGUCUACAUUUUACUGUUUCUUGCUAUACAGCUAUAUGUGAUUUUUAACUUUAUCUUCAGUCAUCAAUUAAGCAAUUAGGAUGUCAUUUUGGCACUAUUUUUAAAACACACCAGCUGUUUCACUCCCUUUAUAAACCCAGACCUGCCAGGUUAUGUUCUCUGCAUUUCUACUUGAAAAAAACCUGAUGGCGAACCUUGUUGUGGACAUUUUAAACUGUAUUGUAUUUUAUUAAAGUUAUUUUGGUCACUUCCUCACUGUGAGUUGCCAUUUUACUUUUUAAAAAAAUAUUUUUAUUUUAUUUUAUUUUUACCUAUUUUAGCUGGCUUCUGAGUUGUAUUGUGUUCCAGUGAGACAUUACUCCAAAGAAUCCUAGGUGGGGAUUAUACCACUCAAGCCCUAUACACUGAGCAGUCUGCCUGUUUGUGUAAAUGUGAGUAACCACUUUAGAUUUUAUUUUCUGCUUUCCUGAUUUUAAAUAGAGAACACUAUGGCUGUUCCUUUUUAUUUCAUAUGACCUUCCCUCAGACAAGAAAUCAUCUCAUGUAUCCUAUAAGUGGGGAUUAUACCACUGUACGCACUUCAUACUACAGCUAGUCCAUUAGCUCUAUAAAAUGUGAAUAGGAUCAUAUAAGACUUUUACCAGAAUAACACCUGAUUGUUGAAUAUACUGCACCAUUAGUUGUCUCUUUUAUUUCCACAUACAGAGUGUAAGAACAUCUUCAACUUACGGAGCUGUUAUCUCAUAUUCUAAAUUUUCGUUUGCUUCUACAUACAGUCCCCCAAAAGACAUUCUUGAACUCUACUACUGGACUUUUAAUCACUUAGACUAUAUUAUUAUUAUUUUUAUCUACUUUGCUCUUUAUUACUGGCGCCGCCUAUCUACUACCCUCUACAUAUGGGGUACGACUCUAAAAUCUAAAAGGAACAUAAACAAAACAUAGUGUGAUACAAUUUGAACAAAAAAUGUGUGCUGUACAAGAAUGCACUCACAAGAUGUAGACGUAUUAUGCGCUCAAAGGGUGCUUCCCCAAUGUAAUUGGGUGGCUAUGGAUCCCUCUCCUCCAUCUGCAGGUGUAGCAGGAAAUCAGGACUCCAGAUGGUUGUAUGAAAUAAUGGCUUUUUAUUAUAAAUCAAAUAAAAUUGAUAAUGCUAUUAAAACAGCAGUAGUUGUAGUCUUACACGUUUCGUCCCACACUUGGAACUUCCUCAAAGUCCAUAAAAUCAAAGUAAGUAACAAAUGGUUAUACAAAAAUAACAGCCUAACAAUUCCCAAAUCCCACCCCAGAGUCCCUUUAGGUAGGACUAAUUCCUGAGUUCAUUGGUGGUUCCGAGGGUGUUGUUUUUCCUCCGUGGUCCUAUCGGUUCCCUUCUUGCACUGGUUCACCUAUGGAUCUUCAAGAUUUAUCUCUUGUGUCUCGGCCGGUAAUUAGACAUCUGUCAAAAACUGGAAACGGAAGUGCAUUCCAUUGAACACUUCUGCAUUCCAUUUACUGUGAUGUGAGCCAGAGAGAUCAAAAAGGCUAUAUACAUGCCAUAGAGUUCACAGAAGUAGUGUGUGACCCUUUGGUGGUCGCCAAAGGUAUUACAAGAUUCAAAGUGAUGUUAACAAAACGUAACAUCAAGAGCUUGAUCAGCUAAAGCGAGGGUUAUUAAUACCACAAAUUCAUCAUUAAUCAGAGCCGUCAAUAUGAAUUAAAGUGCAAGGAAAUAAACUUAUAUCAUGUGAUGGAUACUUAGCAUGUAGUUAAGAAAACGGAUAAUAAUUCCUUUUCUGAUGUUAGUUGUAUCUAUAAUUUUCUUUUUUAUGACAACUUCACUCAGGGAUUAAUUAUUUAAAGUGCAUAUAUUAAAGUGAAUAUGUGCAAUGAUUGAUAAGUGUCAAUUAUUAUUUGUUAUGUUCUAAAUGAUAAUUGAAAUGAAUUAAUAUACUAUAGUGUAACCACACAUACCUAUUUUUAUAAUGCAUGACUGUAUAACCUGUCCUAAAAUAACAACUGAUUACAUUUGAUAUCCCUAAUUCAAGGGUGAAAAGGAACAUAUUUAUAUCUAUAUUGUUCAUUUGCUACCACAGUUUUAAUCAUAAAAUUGAUUCUUAAGAGUAACAAUGGAUAUAUUAAGGUGAGUAGGUACAUUAAACCGUAAAUACGUAAUAUUUAAAUUUUUUGUUAUAUUCUAAAUAGUAAUUGAAAUAAAUUAAGGUAAUGUGAUGUUACCGUACAUACCCACUUCUAUAAUAUAUAACUGUAAAGCCUCUCAUAAAUCAAUAACUAUCUGGUAUCCCUAAUACAGAGGAUAUAUGGAACAUAUGUAUGUACAGAGGAAGAGAAUACGCAGGAAAAAAUACACAGAAAAAAAUACACAUGAACCAGAAGUAAAGAUGGGAAGAUGUAAAAUGGGAGAGAUGGUCUAAAUCAUAAAAAACAAACUAAAUCUAUGUCCAAAUUCAGUACCUUUGGUUCUAACAUUUGGAGUUUGUGAAUCCAAUAGGUUGUAUGUUGGGCAAGUUUUUCUUACCCUAUCACCACCAUGCCAAUACGGUGUCACCCUUUGACCGAAUGUGUCAUAAGGACUUUCUUUAUAUUGUUUAGAUGUUCUAAAACCCUGAUCUUAAGGAUUCUUUUAGUACGUUUGAUGUACUGUUUGCCACACGGGCACUGCAGCAAAUAAACUACAAAGUCUGUGUGGCAUCCAACCUCGGACUUAAUCUUGAAAACAUCUCCAGUUUUAAAGCUAGAAAAUUGGUUUGUCCUAUCCAGAGAGAUGGUGGAGCAAGCUUUACAAGACUUGCAUCCUCUAAAAGUACCAGCGUGCCCCAUGAUGUUCCCAACAUCGGUAUUUAUUGCGUAACUGGGGGCUAACAUAUUUUAUGUUUACGAUUUUUUUUUUUUUAUAUAUGAGUGUAGGUUGAUCUCGUAGAUGAGUUCCCAGGACUGGUUCCUGCAAUAAUAUGGACCAAUGUUUUUUGUAUGCUAUUUAUUAUUCCUCCAUGAUCCAGAUUAUACUGGGUCCCAUAUGAAGAUUUGAAAUUGGGUAUGUCAAUCAGUAGAGCAUUUCUCUGUAUUUUAGAAGUGAGACCAUUUUCUCUCUCUAAGGCAUUACUUUUAUAUCCCUUCUCCAAGAGCUUAUUUGCUUAUAUGUUGAGAUUAAUUCUCAAAAUCCUGAAAAUGGGAACAAUUGCGCCUUAGGCACAUAAAUUGUCCUUUAGCAAUGCCUUUAAAGGGACAAUAUAGUCACCUGAACAACUUUAGCUUAAUGAAGCAGUUUUGGUGUAUAGAACAUGCCCCUGCAGCCUCACUGCUCAAUCCUCUGCCAUUUAGGAGUUAAAUCCCUUUGUUUAUGAACCCUAGUCACACCUCCCUGCAUGUGACUUGCACAGCCUUCCAUAAACACUUCCUGUAAAGAGAGCCCUAUUUAGGCUUUCUUUAUUGCAAGUUCUGUUUAAUUAAGAUUUUCUUAUCCCCUGCUAUGUUAAUAGCUUGCUAGACCCUGCAAGAGCCUCCUGUAUGUGAUUAAAGUUCAAUUUAGAGAUUGAGAUACAAUUAUUUAAGGUAAAUUACAUCUGUUUGAAAGUGAAACCAUUUUUUUUUCAUGCAGGCUCUGUCAAACAUAGCCAGGGGAGGUGUGGCUAGGGCUGCAUAAACAGAAACAAAGUGAUUUAACUCCUAAAUGACAGUGAAUUGAGCAGUGAAUUUGCAGGGGAAUGAUCUAUACACUAAAACUGCUUUAUUUAGCUAAAGUAAUUUAGGUGACUAUAGUGUUCCUUUAAGCCACGGUUAAUGGUGACAACUUUUCCGAUGGACAUAUCCAUUGCCAUCUGUCGGCUUAAAAAAGCAUUUGGUUUUUAUUUAUCCAUUUUCAUAGAAAAGAGUCAAAUUAAGAACAUUGAUUUCAUCCUUACUCCACACAGGGGUAAAUUUAAGAUUAUAUUAGUUAUUUUUUAGAAAAUUAACAAAAUCCUGAAACAAAAUAGAAGACCCUCUCCAAAUAAUUAUAACAUUGUCAAUGUAUCUCUGUAUAAUUAAACCUGUAUAUGUUAUUAAGCAGUCUCACUGAUCCAACACAUCAGUUAUCAUUUACAGAGCUAUUUACAAAAGUGAGAAUUAAAAGUGAAUUUUAAAUUAAAGACUAGAGUAGCUAAACUGAAAGCUUAACUGACCUAGGGAAUUUUUCAUGUUCAGCUAGUUUGACCUUAAAUCUGAAAUUCUCCUUGAAUUCACGAAAUCAACUUCAGUUCUCACUUUAGUAAAUAACCCUGUUAGAUCACCUUGGUUGAUAACUAAAUGUAGAAUUUUUAUAUGUAAUUUCUUUCUUAGGCUGUUCCUUAAGAACUAUAGCUACAAUUUGCAUCUUAUCUUAUUUUAUUGAUUCUAGCUUUCCAAUAUAAUAAAGUCCCCUUUAUGUAAAAAAUGCAAUAGAAAACACAAGUUAGAUGCAUUUUCUUUAAUUAAAACAAAUGAUAUGCCAUGAUAACAUUUAUCGGUUUUAUGUAGGUGGAGCCCAUCUCAAAAUCACCAAGUGAAGAUUUUAAUAAAACAAAAGCCAAUUCAUCGAGAGGGAUAUUCUUCUGUGUCAACCACUGAAUUUUGUGUUGCUGCUCGAGGCGUUCUUUAAUUAAAUGUGAAAUCCAUAGUCGCUGGCAUGACGCCUAUACUGCACUGGUUAAUGUUUCUCUUCAUUCUCACAUAGCCGGCUUCUCCCCAACCAUCACCCCAGCUACAAAGAAAAAAAUAUAUACAGUUUUUAAUUGGUGAUUGUAAUGCAAUAAUAUCUCAG